GGAGUCUGCAACUCGACUCCAUGAAGCUGGAUUCGCUAGUAAUCGCGCAUCAGCCAUGGCGCGGUGAAUACGUUCCCGGGCCUUGUACACACCGCCCGUCAAGCCAUGGAAGCCGGGAGUGCCUGAAGUGUGCAACCGCAAGGAGCGCCCUAAGGUAAAACUGGUGACUGGGGCUAAGUCGUAACAAGGUAUC
rnacentral:rRNA from 1 species